rnacentral:rRNA from 1 species
AUUGAACGCUGGCGGCAGGCCUAACACAUGCAAGUCGAGCGAGCGGCGGACGGGUGAGUAAUGUCUGGGAAACUGCCUGAUGGAGGGGGAUAACUACUGGAAACGGUAGCUAAUACCGCAUACCAUCAGAUGUGCCCAGGGGGGAUUAGCGAGUAGGUGGGGUAACGGCUCACAUAGGCGACGAUCCCUAGCUGGUCUGAGAGGAUGACCAGCCACACUGGAACUGAGACACGGGCCAGACUCCUACGGGAGGCAGCAGUGGGGAAUAUUGCACAAUGGGCGAGAGCCUGAUGCAGCCAUGCCGCGUAUAUGAAGAAGGCCUUCGGGUUGUAGAGUACUUUCAGCGGGGAGACGUUACCCGCAGAAGAAGCACCGGCUAACUACGUGCCAGCAGCCGCGGUAAUAC